rnacentral:lncRNA from 1 species
GGCCAAGUGCAGGUGCAUAGUGUGCUGCAGCGCAGGGCCACAUAAUUAUAGGGGCCCAAAUUUUUUAAAACUUCAUUAAUAUAUAUGUAUAUGAGAUAAAAUAUACUAUUUCAAGUUUAAUCCACUAUAGGCCUAGCAUCCACUUCUUAUUGAACAUCAACUACACUUGUUUUUAUAUAGGCUUUAGCAUCAUUUAAUUUUUUAUAUAGGCGAUGUGUGACUAAGAAUGCAUAUGAUUUGGAAACUUUA